UCUAUAUAUUGCGAAUGUCCACAGUCCAAUCUCCCUACACCUUCAACCCACACACACUUACACAGUUAACACAAAAAAUCUACCUCAUCUCAGCUUCCACCACACACCUCUCUUUCUCCUUCGCAACCACCACCAUCUGAAAGGGCUGAUCAAUUUGCAUUUUGGGAAGGCUAAAUGAGACCACCACCCGGGCCACCAGGGCCACCCGGUCCACCUGGUCCAUUAUUUCCAGGGGGCUUUCUCGGUGGUUUUGUUAAUGGCUUGUGCUCCACUGUAUCUUCUUGGUUAGUAUCAUUCCUUUCAUCUUCUACUCUGUUUAUAUCGUUAGUAUCAAAACCCCGACUGUACAUAAUGGAGUCACUCUCUCCCAUACCCGUAGGUUUCUUCAACUGGGGGUUGAUAAAGGUGAGAUUGAUGAUUUUUACCAGUAACCUAGCAAGUGCAUGGCUGAUUAUUCACUUCUUUAGGCAAAGCUUGUUUAUUACAACAUAUUUUAUAUUUUCUAAAUUGUUUCUUUGACAGAUUUCACAAUCAUCUCAAUUUGAACACUAUCUAGUGAGAAAACUCUGCAUCAUUGCGUUAAUUUGUGCGAAGACUACGGAAAAUUUUCUUCAUAACUUACUCUUUGUAUUAUGCUUUUGCAGCUUCUACUUCUUGUGCUGUUGCUGCCUACUGCAAGACUGCUUCGGUGGUCCUCCCCAGCCGGCUGGGCCACCUGGGCCACCUGGGCCUCCUCCCCCACCCCCUUCUGCACCUCCUCCGCUAGCACCUGGGCCUCCUCUUCCGCCUGGUCCGCCUCUGGGACCUUUUUUCGGUCCACCAGACCCACCAGGUUCUCCUGGACCACCUGGUUUCCCACCAGGACCUCCUGGCCCACCUGGUGGCCCACCAGGACCUCCUGGCCCACCUGGUGGCCCACCAGGACCUCCUGGCCCACCUGGAUGGUGACAGGGGCCCUCAACUUCUAACCCAUAUUUCACCUUAUUUGCUAGAGAUGUGUGUAUUGAGAGUUGAACCAGUUUUCUUGGGUUUCUCUCUUUCUAUUAAUGUCCUCUAAUUUUAUAUAUCAUUUUAUGAAUCAUGUA
rnacentral:lncRNA from 1 species